GACGAACGCUGGCGGCGUGCUUAACACAUGCAAGUCGAACGGAAAGGCCCUGCUUUGGUGGGGUGCUCGAGUGGCGAACGGGUGAGUAACACGUGAGUAACCUGCCCUUGACCUUGGGAUAACUUCAGGAAACGGGGGCUAAUACCGGAUAGGAGCACCUGCUGCAUGGUGGGGGUUGGAAAGGUUCGGCGGUUGGGGAUGGACUCGCGGCUGAGCAGCUUGUUGGUGGGGUAGUGGCUUACCAAGGCUUUGACGGGUAGCCGGCCUGAGAGGGUGACCGGCCACAUUGGGACUGAGGUACGGCCCAGACUCCUACUGGAGGCAGCGGUGGAGGAUUUUGCGCGAUGGGCGGAAGCCUGAUGCAGCAACGCCGCGUGCGGGAUGACGGCCUUCGGGUUGUAAACCGCUUUCGCCUGUGACGAAGCGUGAGUGACGGUAAUGGGUCAAGAAGCACCGGCUAACUACGUG
rnacentral:rRNA from 1 species